rnacentral:rRNA from 1 species
UACGUAGGGGGCAAGCGUUGUCCGGAUUUAUUGGGCGUAAAGAGCGUGUAGGCGGCCAAGCAGGUCCGCUGUGAAAACUCGAGGCUCAACCUCGAGAGGUCGGUGGAAACCGUUUGGCUAGAGUCCGGAAGAGGAGAGUGGAAUUCCCGGUGUAGCGGUGAAAUGCGCAGAUAUCGGGAAGAACACCCGUGGCGAAGGCGGCUCUCUGGGACGUGACUGACGCUGAGACGCGAAAGCGUGGGGAGCAAACAGG